rnacentral:pre_miRNA from 1 species
GUGAGUGUUUCUCUGGCAGUGUCUUAGCUGGUUGUUGUGAGGAGUGAGAACGAAGCAAUCAGCAAGUAUACUGCCGCAGAAACUCGUCAC